rnacentral:rRNA from 1 species
CCUACGGGUGGCAGCAGUGAGGAAUAUUGGUCAAUGGGCUUACGCCUGAACCAGCCAAGUCGCGUGAGGGAAGACUGCCCUAUGGGUUGUAAACCUCUUUUGUCAGGGAGCAAUUGGCGCUACGUGUAGCGUUAUCGAGAGUACCUGAAGAAAAAGCAUCGGCUAACUCCGUGCCAGCGGCCGCGGUAAUACGGAGGAUGCGAGCGUUAUCCGGAUUUAUGGGGUUUAAAGGGUGCGUAGGCGGAAUGCCAAGUCAGCGGUAAAAUCGCGGGGCUCAACCUCGAUCCGCCGUUGAAACUGGCGUUCUUGAGUGGGCGAGAAGUAGGCGGAAUGCGUGGUGUAGCGGUGAAAUGCAUAGAUAUCACGCAGAACUCCGAUGGCGAAGGCAGCAUACCGGCGCCCAACUGACGCUGAAGCACGAAAGCGUGGGUAUCGAACAGGAUUAGAUACCCGAGUAGUC